UAUCCAUCCCAUGCGGGAAGGAUGAGAAGCUUCGACGGCAACGACCCGAAGGGCGAGGCGCAACGCGCCGAGUAAUCCUUCCCCCACCACCA
rnacentral:sRNA from 1 species